CUGUAGGUUUUUUUGGUCACUGACAGCUAUUAGAUUUUCUCUUUAUUGUUGAAGAUCAGAAAUAUCAUCAGGAUUUGCCUGGAUUCAAGCAUUGUUCCUCAGCAUUUCAUGGCAACUUCCAAGUUGAAGACAUAUCUUCUUUGGUCCAAGAAAUUUUUAUUUUACUAUUUCUUGGCUUAGUUCUGUCUAUUCUAUUUCAGACUCCUAACUGACAGAUAUUGGGUUUCUUGAAACUCUCCUGCAAUCCCUUAAGACUUCUCUAAUCUUUUUAACGUGACUGUUUAGUCCACAUUUAGGGAGAUUUCUUCUAUUUUAACUUCCAGUUUACUAAUCUGGCUGUCAAUUACUCACUCCUAUCACUGAAUAUUUUAUUUUGACCAUCAUGUAGGGUUUUUGAAUUUUUUUUUUUAUUACCAAGAAUUCUCCAUUUUCAUUGCAACCUAUUUUCAUGUUAGAAGUUAAGUUCAGUAAGCCUAAAAAUAUUUCUAUGGAUAUUAUUGGAACCUGUUUUUAAGUUCUUGUUCCUUUCUUCCAUUAUAUCUGUUUCCUCUAGGCUAAUCUUCUCUUCUUCCUUUUUCUGAUUAAUCUUGUUCCUUUUCUCUCUUGCUGUUUUAAUUUUUUAAUGAAAUACAUGUACACAUAUUUAAAGAGUCAAAUACUUACACAAUCCUUGUUAGAAAAAACAGUAUACUCCAAUAUCUUACUCCCCAGAUACACUACUUUAAAUUCUUUAAUGGAUUAUUUUAGCUUUUACUUUCAUAUUGCUAAAUAACAUACCCAUAUUUUGGAUUUUAUUUUUUUUUAUUUUUAGUUUUGGGCAUAUUUAUUGACAUCCUAUAAUGGAAGAGUAAGAUAUAGCUCUUUGUACACACCUGCACCCACAAUUUACUCACAUUGCCUGUCCUCUACUCCCCAAUACAGCUAUACCAUAGUUUACAUUUGGCCAAUAGUCAGCAUUUAUAUUGCUAUUAUUAUGUAAAUGCUAUCAACAGCUAAGUCUUAUAAUUUGAUUUCUUUUUCUUUGGUACACAACUUCUGUUUUCCUUGAAGUUAAUGUUAUCUUUCCUAUUUUUGCUCAGUUUUCUAUAUAAUUCUCAUUAAUUUGUCCCCAAAACCUAGCCCCUGAUAUAUAAUGUUCUUUCUACUAUCUAUCUAUCUAUUCUUAAGGUGACAUAAGUAUUGCCCUUACUAUGUAUGUGUCAGGCACUAUUCUAAGCACUUAUGGAUUCAUUUAAAGCUCACAACAGCACUAACAGGUAGGUAUGUUAUUAUCCCCCAUUUAAUGGGAGGCAUGAAGACAAGUUCACAGCCCGUAAGUGAAAGAGCCCAUAUGAUCUGAUCCCAGAGUUUGUGCUAACCCCUCACACAUUACAGGACCUCUUGGUAGUUCUUCCAUCCAUCCCACCACUCUGAAGAGCCUCUAUAUGAGCUCCUCCUGCCUAUUCUAGCUGGCCUGAUUGAGUUCUAGCCUUAUUACUCAGCAGUCACCUCAGGCUUUCCUUUCAUCACCAUCAUGAGGACUUCUUUUGCCUUUCUUUAAUAUUGAUUUUCUUGCUUCCUAGGUCCCAUGACUUCAUCUUCCUUGGAAAUCUCCUUGUUUUGGCAGAGCACAUCCUCUGCUCACUUCCUAAAAAAAAAUGCGUGAGACCAAUUUUUUAAGACCUUCUAUGUCUGAAGAUGUCUUUAUUCUACGUUCACUCUAGUUGAGAGUCUGGCUGUACAAAAUCCACGUUGGAAAACGUUGCACUCAGGAUGUCAAUGUUCCCUGCAGACAUUGUUCCAUUAUCUUCUAUCAUCUAGUGUUAUUUUUGACAAGUUCAAUGAUAUUCUGAUUCUUGAUUCUUGAUUCUUUGUUUGGAACCUGUUUCUUCCCUUCCUUGAAAGGAAUUAGCAUCUUUCUCUUUGUUUUUAGCAUUUUCGAUUUUUGCACCAAUGCAUGUUAGUGCCUAGAAAAUUAUGUCCUUCAUUCAGAGAAAUUUAUUGAAUUACUGCUUUCAUUAUUUCCUCUCUGCUCUUUACUAGAUUUCUCCUCUUUUUGGAAUUUCUAUUAUUGAGCUAUUGGGUGUCUUAGAAAAGUCUUCCAAUUUCUGGUCUCUUAUGUUUUCUCUUCUCUUUAUGUUCUGCUGUUUUGGAGAGUUCCUCUGCUCUAUCUUUCAAUCUUUCUAGCUUUUGUUUUCGUUGUCACAUUUUUAACUUCUAAGAGCUCUGGUUCUUUGAAUAUCCUCUGACUUUCUUCUCUUUAUUUUCUAACAGCAUCUCUUUUUAUGAGUUUCAUGCAGUCAGUAACUUUCUUAUCUCUCAGAGGAUAUUAAUGGUAACUGCCUUUAAGGUUUCCUUCUUUCUGACUAGAAGCCCUGUGGCAUGUAUAAGCUGAUUGACUGUGGGUUCACUCUAGGCUGUCCAGGCCAGGUCACUGCCUUAGGGCAGCAGUUCUCCAAUUUUUUUGGUAUUAGGAUCUCUUUAUACUUGUAUAAAAUUAUUGAGGAUUCCAAAGAGAUUUUCAGAAACAUAAGGAGUGGAGGAGAAAAGAUAAAUUGUUUCAGCAGAAGACUUGAGUCAGGAAGAGUCCCAGCUCAGGAUAAGAACUGAAAGUGUGCAUGAAGUAUAGAGGAUAAGGUUGGGAAUGACAGAAUAUUGGAGACACAGGCUCAGGCCACAUAUUGCCAGAUUAUGUAGUACAAGUUAAGGACCUAAGAUCUCAGGAAGAACCAUGGAAGGGUUUUCAUCUGGAGAGUGAUAUAAUCAAAUAUAGCCUUUUUAGAAGCCCAUUCUGGCUGCAGUCUAAAAAUGGAAUAGAAAAGGAGCAACUCUGGAAGCAGCAAUAUUAGAUUAGGGGCUCCAGAAACAUCCAGAGAAGACAUAACAUGGCCUUGAAUAGAGCAGCUGGCAAGGGAGUUGGAGAGAAGUGAAUAGACUUGAGAGAUAUUUUGAAGAUGGAAUCAUCACAACUGGGUGACAGACUGGAUUGGGGAGGGGGCAGGUGAGACACUGAAAUGAGUCAUGGAUAUUCCAUGGACUUUUGCCUUGAGCAAAUGAGUCAGUUAUGACUUUUUCAUUGAAAUAUGGAAGUUACAAGUUUAAGAGCAGCUAUUUAUUUAUUUAGUCAUUAAUUUGUUAAUUAUGUUGAAUUAUCUGAGCCAAAUUAUUCUAGAUUCCAAAUCUCUAUCAUUACUUAAUAAAUAAUAAUUAAUAUUUGUUAAACACAUUCAAGAUCUGUUUCAAAUGUCGUAUAUAAAAACUCAUUUAUUCCUCAUAAGAACCUUAUGAAUUGGGGAUUAUUAUUAUUCUUAUUUUAUAUUUAAGAAAUGGAGGCACAGACUGGUUAAGUAAACUAUCCAAGGACCCUAGUAAGCAAGCAACACUACUAAAUGUUGGUGCAGGGAUGUGAAGAAUCUGAGUCUAUAGACCAUGCUGAUAACCACUAGGCACGCUGUUCAGUUGUGUAUGUGUGUGUGUGUGUGUGUGUGUCUCCUAGCAAGUCUUAGGUUUACAUGCAAAUAAAUUGAUUGUGGAAUCCAUUUUCUUUACUGAUAAUUCAAUAUCUUCUAUUUCCAUCUAUUUAAUCAUCAACUGUUUAUUGAGUAACCUUAUAUUUAUCAGGCCUUGAGUUAGAUAAAAUUUCAGCUAUGAAAAACCUAAUCCAUGCCCUUAAUUUUAUGUCUAGUAGGGAUCGGAAACAGGUAAAAAGACAAUGACAACACAAUGUGACAAGAUAUGUUCAGCCGCAAUGGAGGCACAGAGGAAGAACACCUAAACAGACUACAUUAGAGGUCUCAGGACAGGCUUCUUGUAGGAGUCAAGCAGGAGCUGCAUUUUAGUGGACAAGUCAGAGUCAUAUAUGUGAAGAAAGGAGGUAGGAGAGGCUUUAAGACAGAGAGCUCUGUGUAUAGAGAAAGAGAAGCAACUGAAAAUCAAAUAGAUUUGGAAAACUAAAGCCUGUACUGUUUAGACCUUCCCAACCUCCUUCAUGUCAUAGCACUUAUAAAAAAAACUGAAGAUAUUAAUAUGUCACCCGAGGAUAUGAGGGUGCUUGCAGGUCAGUAUAUAUAUAUAUAGGCCAGAGCUCAAGUUGAUUCUGACACGCACAGUAAUCUUGAGGGUCAUGACUUCCACCUUUUCAAAAGCAUCAAUAUGCACACUGCCAAAGACUCAGAACAAAUGAUGAUAUUUGGGCAAAAAGUUGGAGAAAUAGAUAUUUGUAUAUAAAAAUAUAAGAUAUUUUUAUCUAAGGCAAAACUAAACAUUAGUUUUAUUUGGAAGGAGAAAAUAGUUAGCUGGAGGGAUGAAAUAGGAAGGACACUUAUCACUGUCUUCCAUUUCAUCUAUUUUCAAUUUUGGUCCAUGGGAAAUAUUACUUCCUCACAUAAAUACAAAUUCACACUUUGCCAGGUUCAUGGAUUUAAAAAGGGGUAGAGAAUAAGUAUCUGUUUAAUUAUAUUAAAAACAAGGGCUCUUUUACCAUUUUAUGUCCUCUGACCAUAUUAUCAAGCAUAAUUGCUUACUUUGAGCAAUUUAAAUCAGUCACAUUUUAAACAAUUGGCUGAACUGUCUAGUGCUAUUUCUUAUAAUGUUCAUUUGGCUUGUUCAUAUGUAUAUGUUAAUCAUAAUAAUCAGGAUUUAACAACUUCAAAGUUUCCAAAAAUUGGAUUGUCAUGUAGAAAAACCUUAUCACCUGGAGAAGAAUUUUGACCUUGACAGUUUUGUUCCAAACUUAUGGGCAAAAUUUUAUGACCAAGCCAGUAGUAGACAGCUUCACCUGCUUCUCCAGGGAAAUAAGGCCAGGAUGGAAGGCAGAUUCAGGGGUUAAAUGUCAGGAUAUAAAUGACAUGUGCAGAGAGGAAGAAGAACUGUAAAGGCCUGGAAAUGGUUCUCUGAGGAAGUUGCAACAUCCCAUAUCUGAGAUCAUCUUGCCCUUGGAUCUCAAGGAGAUUUUUCUCACUGAGCUGAAGUCUAGCCUUCCCAACGGAAUAGCUGAGCACAAAAUUAUAGAAAUUAAAGAUGGUUUCAUGCAAUCUCUUCAUUUUACAACUGCAAAAAAUAUGCUCAUGGAAGUUAAAUAAAUAGCCUGAAUUAGUUGCAAAGCUAGACUAGAACGCAAGUCUCUGCAUUAAACCCUGCAUUUAUGAACUUACCAUUGGAUAGAAUGGACAGAAUGGGCAAUGCCAUGCCACGAUUCAAAUCUCCACAGAUUCCAGUUACCUGAGAUAAACUGGGCUCAGUAGAGUAUUCAAUCCACAAAUUAAAAGACAGCCCUUGAGAAAAAGAUUCCAUAGUCAAGUUCAAGGAUCAAUAACAUUACCUUGAGGUUAAAAAGAGAUUUUUUGUGUGUGGUUGGUUGGUAAUUUGAUUAGUUGGUUUUAUGGCAGCAGUCCUUAGGACCUUUACAUCUGCAUUGAUCUCUAAGAGGGGAAUUAAAAACAAUUCAUUCCAAGUUUAUAUGCUACAGAGCAUCAUUUUCAUGGAACACCUAUUAUCUUACUUCCAUUGAGCACAGCAUAAGAAAUGUUAACUUACAGAAUAAGGUUCAAAAUGCUUCAUGAUGACCUUCAAGUUUUUCUACAAUACGAAUCCAAACUUCUUUUAAAUCUCUAUACUCCAGUUAUCACCUUAGUCUAUUUUCAGACUUUCCAUAGAAUUCAUGACUUCUCUAUUUGUUUUAUACUCUUCUCCUGAGACUGAACCAACCAUGCUUCCAUCUCCACUAUGCAGAACGUCAUAACCCUUAUUUAUGGAAUUAUCUCUAAUCCUUUCUAUUUGAAUUCUUCUAUGUUAUUGUUUUUAUCAUUCCAUAAUCCUUUCUUCUACUUGAUAAACAUUUGGAAAUUGCCUCUGUAUGCCAGAUACUAUUCUGGGUACUGGGGAUAUAACCAUGAACAAAACAAAAGUUACUGCCCCAUGGAGCUUACACUCUUGUGAGUAUGUAGAGGUGGGCAGAGAGAAAAUUCAGAAAAUUGAUAAAUACACUUAUAUACAACAUUUUAUCUCUUAUAUGGCAUUUUUUACAAUACCUUAGGGUAUUUACACAUUUGACUCCUUUUAAAGUUGCUGAGGAUAAUACCGUAUUAGUCUGCUCAGGCUGCCACAAAAAAAUACCAUGGACUGGCUGGCUUAAACAACAGAAAUUUACUUCUCACAGUUCUGGAAGCUAGAAGCCCAAAAAUCAAGGUGCUGGCAAGGAAAAAAAUGGAUUUUGAUCAAAUUGAAGCAGACCCUUAUGUGGAGGAAACUACUACAGUGAGCAAGCAGCCAUAAAACCAGCAAAGAAAACGAAAGAAAAUAUGGACUAGGUCCCUGAUGGAAAGAGCUACUCUUAUGUGUUCUUAGUAUGAGACCAAUGACCUGAUUUGUUAUGAAACUAAAUGUCCCUUUUCAAAUUCUAACCUGAUUUUUCUUGUACUUUAUGUUAACAUAUAUACUUUUUGAAUAUAGAAGCUCUAUGUUUAAAAAUAA